rnacentral:rRNA from 1 species
UGGGGAAUAUUGCGCAAUGGGGGCAACCCUGACGCAGCAACGCCGCGUGAUCGAAGAAGGUCUUCGGAUUGUAAAGAUCUUUUAUCAGGGACGAAUAAAAUGACGGUACCUGAUGAAUAAGCUCCGGCUAACUACGUGCCAGCAGCCGCGGUAAUACGUAGGGAGCGAGCGUUAUCCGGAUUUACUGGGUGUAAAGGGCGAGUAGGCGGGCUGGUAAGUUGGAAGUGAAAUGUCGGGGCUUAACCCCGGAACUGCUUUCAAAACUGCUGGUCUUGAGUGAUGGAGAGGCAGGCGGAAUUCCUAGUGUAGCGGUGAAAUGCGUAGAUAUUAGGAGGAACACCAGUGGCGAAGGCGGCCUGCUGGACAUUAACUGACGCUGAGGAGCGAAAGCGUGGGGAGCAAACAGG